rnacentral:rRNA from 1 species
GAUCCUGGCUCAGGAUGAACGCUGGCGGCGUGCCUAACACAUGCAAGUCGAGCGAGAAAUCUUGGAAUGAGACUUCGGUUAAGUGAAGAGAUGGAAAGCGGCGGACGGGUGAGUAACGCGUAGGCAACCUGCCUUAUGCAGAGGGAUAGCCAUUGGAAACGAUGAUUAAACCUACAUAAUGCCAUUUUAUUCACAUGGUGAGAUGGUCAAGAUUAUCGGCAUAAGA